UUUAAGUUUGCACUUUGGUUUGAGUGGUAUGAGACAAGGAUUUACAUUGGUCAUUUUGCUAUCUUUGUGGGCGGUGAUAAGAUACAAUAUCAUUCAUCUAAGAUGUUUGUUUCCCUUGCAUGAAUGGUAUCAUAGGUUGCAGCUUGGAAGCAUGAGGUUUGUGGAAGAACAUUGCUACAACAUGAAGAUACUUGAGUUAAAGAUCAGAUUUGACAUCGAUUGAAGACAAUCUUUUACAAAAACUCUUUUAAGUCCACUUUCUUUUUUGUCUUAUUUUAUAUUGUUUCUUUUAAAGCAAAGGGGGAUGCUAUAUAUCCAGGAUUAGUAAUCAUAAUUGUAUUGAUAGAAUCGUAAUACCUGUCGUCUAACUUUGGAAUUUGGAUGGUUGUAUGUUAUGUUUAUACAUGUACAAAGUCCCCAUAUUAUUUUUCUUAAGAAUUUGGUCGUCUUCUUGCUGAAGUAAGAAAAAGCAAUAAAGAUUCAAUUUAUUU